UACAUACUCCCUCCGUCCAACAAAAGAUGUCUCAAGUUUGUCAAAAUUUGGAUGUAUCUAGACAUGACUUAGUGUAUACAUGCAUUCAAAUUUAGUCAAAUUUGAAACAUCCUUUGUUGGACAAAGGAAUAUAAU
rfam:Brachypodium distachyon strain Bd21 chromosome 2, whole genome shotgun sequence.